rnacentral:rRNA from 1 species
UACGGAGGGUGCGAGCGUUGUCCGGAAUCACUGGGCGUAAAGGGUGCGUAGGCGGCGCGGUAAGUCGGGUGUGAAAUCUCGGAGCUUAACUCCGAAACUGCAUUCGAUACUGCGGUGCUUGAGGACUGGAGAGGAGACUGGAAUUCAUGGUGUAGCAGUGAAAUGCGUAGAGAUCAUGAGGAAGACCAGUGGCGAAGGCGGGUCUCUGGACAGUUCCUGACACUGAGACACGAAGGCCAGGGGAGCAAACGGG